AUUUGUUGUUGUUAUUUUUCUGGAUUCUGUCCAUGUCUGCUUUAAAGGUCUUCCCAGAGAGGGAGAAGUAAAUGCUAAUUCACCAUCUUGGCAGGAAUGGGAAACCAGGUCAAUAAUUGUUUUCUUUCGUGUUUUAUUUAUAUAUUUUUGGCAGCAAAAUUGUGUUUAUUAAAAAAAAAACCUGGACUAUGAACACACUUCAAUGCUUUGAAGAACUCCAAGCCAAAUAAAAAGACCAAUCAAUAUUAAAAGCAGUAUAACUGGUUACUUUCUUAAAAAUACAUAAAAAGAAUCAAAUGCAACAGUGUAGGAAGACAAUCACACCCAUGUCAGAAGUCACAACUUCUUCCAAAUAAAGAAUAUGACCCAUCUGCCAUAUUGAAUCAAUAUUUAUUUCAGGACAUGCCAUGUCAAAAUAAAACAAAGAGUCAACCCUUGCCUUUAACAAUUAUAUUGUAUUAUAAAAGCACUU
rnacentral:lncRNA from 1 species